rfam:Camelus ferus unplaced genomic scaffold scaffold669, whole genome shotgun sequence.
AAGGGUAUAGCUCAGUGGUAGAGUGCAUGCCUUAGCAUGCACAAGGUCCUGGGUUCAAUCCCCAGUACCUUCA